CUGUGAAUAUUCUCAAUGUUCUGAUUAUGUGAUAGUCAGGAUAGGCUAAACAUUUGCUACAUUAAGAACAUGCUGAGCAUUUUUUCAUGUGUCUGUUGGCUGUAUGAAUAUCUUCUUUUGAGAAAUGUCUGUUCAUAUCC